GCACUGGAGGACCGAACCAGGGCACGUUGAAAAGUGCUUGGAUGACUUGUGGGUAGCGGAGAAAUUCCAAACGAACUUGGAGAUAGCUGGUUCUCUCCGAAAUAGCUUUAGGGCUAGCGUCGACAUUGAGAAUCUUGGAGGUAGAGCACUGUUUGGAUGAGGGGGCCAUCUCGGUUUACUGAUUUCAGAUAAACUCCGAAUGCCAAUGAUUUAUGGUCGGCAGUCAGACUGCGAGUGCUAAGAUCCGUAGUCGAAAGGGAAACAGCCCAGACCACCAGCUAAGGUCCCAAAAUAAUUGUUAAGUGGAAAAGGAUGUGGGGUUGCACAGACAACU
rnacentral:rRNA from 1 species